UCCUAGUACAUGAUUGCAACAAAAUUAAUGUCCUUCAGCUAAAACUAUUCAGACUUGUCUGUAAGUGAAUUCACAAAACAAAACUUUAUGAAUUUAAUCGAGUAUUGAAUUUCUAUUCUUUUUUUAUCGAUAAAAUUUUUUAACUUAUGAAUAUGGCCUGUAUACUUUUCAAGAUCCAGACAUUCUGAAUUUACCCGACACAGUUACAGUGUCUGAAAACUCGGACACGGGAACAGUCGUAUUCACCAUUCAGAGUGUGGAGCAGUUUGAUCUGAUAAACCAAUAUCCAGCUGUCACUUCGGAAGCAUUUCAAUAUGAUGCCAGAAACAAAACCGUUACAAUAAAGAAUGCCAGUCUUCUUGAUUACAAUGGAAACCAUAGAACCUUUGUCCUGCGUUUUCAGCAACGGUUCAUACCAACAAGGCGCAGAAAACGCGAGAUAACGGGAGAUCUUUUAUUAGUAAUACAACUAGAAGACGUGAAAGAAACGGGAAGCUUGGCGUCUUUUGGAUUUUCAGGUUGCUGUGAUGUCGUAGAUACCCUAAGAUGGAUGGUCCCAGUAUGCACAGCCGUUGAAUUCCUUGCUUUGCUAUUGUGCUUUGCAAUUUCGAUGAUAUGUUUCAUCAAAAAGAACAACCGUAAUGCAGUCGAAGUUUUUCGAGAAGGAAAGUAAAAAGCAGAAGCGAUAGCGCGGUUUGAUGAAUUGUCUGCAAAAUAUGGUGUGUUAUAGGACCGACGACAUACAAAAUUAGCAUUCAAAGCUAUAUUUAUUUUAAUUUUGAUGUCUUUAUUUAUAAAAUAUUCUUGUAACAUCGCUUUAAAGCCAUUAUAUAUGCCCUUAGUCAGUAGUAUUAGUAUUAACAUGUUAAUUAGUUUACUUUCGAGACAAAAACUAGCGCCAGAC